GUCCGAUAAUCAAAGGGACAGUCAUGCUUGUCAGAGUAACGAUGAAUUGCACAGAACAGGUUUCCACAUCUACAACCGAAACCUGUUAAACCAACACGCUUUCGGCAAGCGGUACACCUACUAGGUCCCUCUUUUGCCUUCAUCUCAGAAGGCUUGCUUGAAGCAAUGGAUGGUUCUGUGGAGAUGAUUUUCACCUCUACAGGUGCAGCUUGUACAUCAACGGCACCAGCAACCACAGGUUCUUUUCCAUUCCCGCUAGAGUUUCCAUUCACAAUGCUUUCAAUGGAUGAUGCUGCCAGUUGGGCUUGUUGCUGGUUCAGGAUGAUGUCCUUGUGGCACUUGGAACACAUGUUCAUGGUAGCAGCACUUCCAAAGAAGCCACAGUUGU
rnacentral:lncRNA from 1 species